rnacentral:rRNA from 1 species
GCGUUAAUCGGAAUUACGGGCGUAAAGCGCACGCAGGCCGGUGUGGUUAAGUCAAGAUGUGAAAUCCCCGGGCUCACCCUGGGAAACUGCAUCUAAGACUGGCUAAGCUAGAGUCUCGUAGAGGGGGGUAGAAUUCCAGGUGUAGCGGUGAAAUGCGUAGAGAUCUGGAGGAAUACCCGGUGGCGAAGGCGGCCCCCUGGACAAGACUGACGCUCAGGGUGCGAAAGCGUGGGGAGCAAACAGGAUUAGAUACC